rnacentral:lncRNA from 1 species
GAUAGACUCCUCGCUACUUGCUCUUGGUUGAACCUAGGAUGAUCUCAGCUUUUGAUCCAUUUGGGCUUGCCUUGAUUUUUGGACCUGACAGCUUUUGGGAUCUAUCUUUGGGACUGAAAAGACCUUACUCUUAGACUGGUUUUCUUUAUCACGACUACUGGUAAAAGAGCCUGGAUUCCAACAGUGAAGGGGAAGCCAGCAGGCAGGGGUGGGGUGGGAGGUUGGAUAAUAUGCUUAGAGUGAGCAACUCACCCUCAGCUCCUCCUAGCUUCGCCUCAACCCUUGGUGUUCGUCCACCUCUCUCCUGCCCCAGUCCACCUGUGUGAGGCAGGCUGUUUGUAGCUUGAAAUUGCUGCAGUGGGAGGAUUUACACCAUGGAAUUUGCAAAUGCUACAAAUCAAGGUCUUCACUGUGCUCCAGCUGCAGUAUCAGUGGAAUUGUGUGAUGUGGAUAUGAUGGAAGGAAAGGCAUUCAACACCAACAUCUUUCCGGAUGCCUGGCAGCACCAGUUACCACUGCAGUGGCUGGGCCUGGGUCCAGGAAGGGAGCUUUCUUCCCUUGGAAAGAAAAGAUGGCAUCUGCCACUGGGGAAGAGCCUUAUGCCCCAGCCCAAGGAAGGUGGAUUGGAAUUGGAAAGGUGGCUAGAGCUCCCAUUAUUCCUGUUUUGUAGAGGUGGGCCCAGAAAAAUGACAGAAGACACCCAAGCUCCAGCAGCAGAUUUGUGACCCAGCCUCCUUUUGGCCUUCAGUGGGGUGAAGAGAAGUGUGAGUUGUGCCUGGUGUCUUCCAUCAGCCCUGAGCCGCCCAGGGCCGAGCUGGGGGACAGAUAGCAGCACACAGAGCUUCAUUUUCCUCAGCUCUUCAGCCACGUCAAACACUUCUUACAAUAAUAGACUCCAAUGUGCGGUUGAUGUCCAGGACAGACAGAGGUCUUGGCAGAAGCUGGGAUUGCUUUCCCAUUUCACUGAGUUUAUAAAAAUGACAUUUUUGAACUUUAAAUCUUAGCAUUCAUGACCCUUAGUAUUUUCCCUCUUUUUGUCACUCGCUUCUUUGAAGAUCAAGUCACCUAUUCCUCCAGCUUAAGACAAUGUUUCAGGUGAUAAGAAAAGACAAAACAUCAGAGACCCCAGAGGUGCCAAUUGUCUACUCCUUUCAUGCUAACAACUUGCAUUUCUACUCAUUGGUUACAGAAAAGUAACUACCUCUUUCUCUCAGCGUGCUGUGGGGGGCUUUGUCUGUGCCAAAGUAGCUAGAUCAGACUUUUUAAUGAGCAAGACUCAAAAAAAGUAAAUUGACUUUUUACAGGGAAACAGGCCAUUCCUCAAAAACUGUUAAAGAUUCUGUCAUCCAGAAUAUCCCUAUCCUGUUGACCUUAUUU